AUAACCGUAACUAGAUUUGUCUUUUUAGAAGGGGAAUGAAGGACUUUUAAUAGUCAUCAGACAACUCCUUAAACUCUUACUUUCUUUCCUAUCUUCUUACUUCUUUCUCUCACUAAAAUCCUCUCUCUAUAUAAAAUUUCUAAAAUGAAAAAAGGGAAAAUGGUGAGAGAAAUGUGAUGAGAUAUGGGUCUUUAAAUAGCCAUGGUGGCACCAUGGAUGGGUGACAUAUGGCACAUAUCCAGAUAAGACAUGUGGCCAAUAGGUGUCCCAAAAAGCUGCUGCAAGAUAAAGCGGC
rnacentral:lncRNA from 1 species